rnacentral:piRNA from 1 species
UACAGAAAAACAAUUGCUACAUAAAAUAAU